rnacentral:rRNA from 1 species
AGGGAAUCUUCCGCAAUGGACGAAAGUCUGACGGAGCAACGCCGCGUGAGUGAUGAAGGUUUUCGGAUCGUAAAGCUCUGUUGCCAGGGAAGAACGUCUUCUGGAGUAACUGCCAGGAGAGUGACGGUACCUGAGAAGAAAGCCCCGGCUAACUACGUGCCAGCAGCCGCGGUAAUACGUAGGGGGCAAGCGUUGUCCGGAAUUAUUGGGCGUAGAGCGCGCGCAGGCGGCUGUUUAAGUCUGGUGUAUAAUCCUGGGGCUCAACUCCGGGUCGCACUGGAAACUGGACGGCUUGAGUGCAGAAGAGGAGAGUGGAAUUCCACGUGUAGCGGUGAAAUGCGUAGAGAUGUGGAGGAACACCAGUGGCGAAGGCGACUCUCUGGGCUGUAACUGACGCUGAGGCGCGAAAGCGUGGGGAGCAAAC